rnacentral:rRNA from 1 species
GUGGGGAAUCUUCCGCAAUGGACGAAAGUCUGACGGAGCAACGCCGCGUGAGUGAUGAAGGUCUUCGGAUUGUAAAGCUCUGUUAAUCGGGACGAAAGAGCCUAGUGUGAAUAAUGCUAGGAAGUGACGGUACCGGAAUAGAAAGCCACGGCUAACUACGUGCCAGCAGCCGCGGUAAUACGUAGGUGGCAAGCGUUGUCCGGAAUUAUUGGGCGUAAAGCGCGCGCAGGCGGAUCUGCCAGUCUGUCUUAAAAGUUCGGGGCUUAACCCCGUGAUGGGAUGGAAACUACAGAUCUAGAGUAUCGGAGAGGAAAGCGGAAUUCCUAGUGUAGCGGUGAAAUGCGUAGAUAUUAGGAGGAACACCAGUGGCGAAAGCGGCUUUCUGGACGACAACUGACGCUGAGGCGCGAAAGCCAGGGGAGCAAACGGGAUUAGAUACCCCAGUAGUCC